GGGGUUGUAGGACACUCUAUACGGAGUUACAAAAGAAAGUUAUAAAUGAAGCGGUCUGGAAAGGCCCGCCAAAGACGGUAACAGCCCGGUAGUUGAAAUAGCUUUCCCUCCAGAGUGGAUCCUGAGUACGGCGGAACACGUGAAAUUCCGUCGGAAUCCGGGAGGACCAUCUCCCAAGGCUAAAUACUCCCUAGUGACCGAUAGUGAACCAGUACCGUGAGGGAAAGGUGAAAAGCACCCCGGAAGGGGAGUGAAACAGUUCCUGAAACCGUGUGCCUACAAGUAGUUAGAGCCCGUUAAUGGGUGAUAGCGUGCCUUUUGUAGAAUGAACCGGCGAGUUACGAUUUGUUGCAAGGUUAAGCGGAAAAAGCGGAGCCGUAGCGAAAGCGAGUCUGAAUAGGGCGCAUAAGUAACAGGUCGUAGACCCGAAACCAGGUGAUCUACCCAUGUCCAGGAUGAAGGUAAGGUAAUACUUACUGGAGGUCCGAACCCACGCACGUUGAAAAGUGCGGGGAUGAGGUGUGGGUAGCGGAGAAAUUCCAAUCGAACUUGGAGAUAGCUGGUUCUCUCCGAAAUAGCUUUAGGGCUAGCCUCGAGGUAAAGAGUCAUGGAGGUAGAGCACUGUUUGGACUAGGGGCCCUUCUCGGGUUACCGAAUUCAGAUAAACUCCGAAUGCCAUGUACUUAUACUCGGGAGUCAGACUGCGAGUGAUAAGAUCCGUAGUCGAAAGGGAAACAGCCCAGACCACCAGUUAAGGUCCCCAAAUAUAUGUUAAGUGGAAAAGGAUGUGGGGUUGCUUAGACAACCAGGAUGUUGGCUUAGAAGCAGCCACCAUUGAAAGAGUGCGUAA
rnacentral:rRNA from 1 species